UGGCAAGAACGCUCCAUGGAUGUGGCUGAAGGCGUUGACCGUCUUCGAUAGCAAAUGGAGCUGGGGUUCAGCGACUCUUGCCUACUUGUACCGACAGCUGGAUGAUGCGUGUUGCAGGAUCACACCUAGUGCAGGCAUUGGUGGUAAUCUGCUUCUACUUUCUGUAUGGAGCUGGGAGCGUCUGCCUGUUGGACGCCCGAAGAGCAUCAGGUUUGAUCCUUGGUAUGCAGAUGAACAUGACGAAUUAUGGCGCCCCACGUGAGCUUACAAGUGGGAUAUCGUUUCCGAGAUGACGAACGAUGUCAAUCUCAUGUACCAAAAGUACAUUGCCGAGUUGGACACGAUUACGCCUGAGCAGGUGGAAUGGCAGCCAUAUGGCGCGGGUGAGAGCUUGGGGUACACCGCGGAGUUCUGCCUCAACCCGAUGUGCUUGCGGGAUAAGGAUCUCUGGCUUAUGCAGUGCCCAUAGAUAUGCAACUGGGCGGUUGAGUUUCAUUUUCCGCAUCGCGUGUAUCGUCAGUUUGGUCUUUUCCAGCCUCACCCGCCGGAUUGGGUGGACACGGAUAAAGCACUUCAUAGGUUGGACAGGAGAAGGCAACGGAAGAUAAAGGACUGGGCCAAGCAUCAUUCUGCGUAUGUUACCCGCUUCCAGCUUUGUGUGGAGCAAGCUCGUAGCACUGCACGCGCCCCGCUUCAUGAGCACAACUCACUUGCUUUUGAUAACUACGUAUGAUGGUUUAUUGGAACUACUCGAGUUGAGAUAUGCCCGCCGGCAUAUAAUGAGGAUAUUCUUGAAGAACCCGUAAACUUUGAGGAUCUAGCAAAGGGGAAGUACAACAGAGAUGUCAGGCUAGGGCAAGGAGUGCCUGCUGUUCCGUCGAUUAAC